AUACGGAGGGGGCUAGCGUUGUUUGGAAUUACUGGGCGUAAAGGGCGCGUAGGCGGCCCACAUAGUCAGGCGAGAAAGCCCCGGGCUCAACCUGGGAACUGCGCUUGAUACUGGUGGGCUAGAGUCCGGGAGAGGAUGGUGGAAUUCCCAGUGUAGAGGUGAAAUUCGUAGAUAUUGGGAAGAACACCAGUGGCGAAGGCGGCCAUCUGGACCGGUACUGACGCUAAGGCGCGAAAGCGUGGGGAGCAAACAGGAUUAGAAACCCCAGUAGUCC
rnacentral:rRNA from 1 species